UACAUUGUCAAACCGUCGCCAUUUCUUCGAAGGACGGACCGGUUUUACGUUUGACUAAAAGUCAUUUGAAUAAAGAUAAUUUUUGAUUGCAAAGUGUUAAAAAAAUAUUAAGUGCGCAAACGUGUAUCCAGGAAUUGAUGGGGUCUUUCAAUUUAACGGUGACAGGCGUCGAUAUAUGCAAGGGCCCGAAACAUAAGGAUUGUUCUUCUAUGACGGUGCAACUUACAGAUCGUAAUUUACUGAAGUAUGAUUUAAAUGUAACUCAAACCCUCUUGAUAACUAAAGGAAAAAUAAUGGCAAUACAAGCAGGAAGAGAACACUUAAGACUACAUAUGAAGAAACCAUGUGAACAUCUAUUUUUGAGACCGAUAUUUCAGACUUUCUUUAAUGUGACAAAAGACUGUGGUGUAUUAAAAGGUCGUUACCAAUACAAUGUGGAUAUACAAAAAAUCACUCAGUCGUAUUAUGGUGGAAGUUUCUUACUGGGUAACUUCAUAUUCAAAUCUGUGUUUUAUAGUGACGAUUGCAAUUUUUAUUGUGCUGGGGUUAAAGUUACUUUGUUUUGACAUAAAUUAAGUUAAAUAAAU